AACGAACGCUGGCGGCAUGCCUAACACAUGCAAGUCGAACGAGACCUUCGGGUCUAGUGGCGCACGGGUGCGUAACGCGUGGGAACCUGCCCUUAGGUUCGGAAUAACUCCCCGAAAGGGGUGCUAAUACCGGAUAAUGUCUUCGGACCAAAGAUUUAUCGCCUUUGGAUGGGCCCGCGUUGGAUUAGCUAGGUGGUAGGGUAAAAGCCUACCAAGGCGAGGAUCCAUAGCUGGUCUGAGAGGAUGAUCAGCCACACUGGGACUGAGACACGGCCCAGACUCCUACGGGAGGCAGCAGUGGGGAAUAUUGGACAAGGGGCGAAAGCCUGAUCCAGCAAUGCCGCGUGAGUGAUGAAGGCCUUAGGGUUGUAAAGCUCUUUUACACGGGAUGAUAAUGACAGUACCGGGAGAAUAAGCUCCGGCUAACUCCGUG
rnacentral:rRNA from 1 species